AUUGAACGCUGGCGGCAUGCCUUACACAUGCAAGUCGAACGGUAACGGGCCUUCGGGUGCCGACGAGUGGCGAACGGGUGAGUAAUGUAUCGGAACGUACCUUUCAGUGGGGGAUAACGUAGCGAAAGUUACGCUAAUACCGCAUAUUCUGUGAGCAGGAAAGCAGGGGAUCGCAAGACCUUGCGCUGAUUGAGCGGCCGAUAUCAGAUUAGCUAGUUGGUGAGGUAAAGGCUCACCAAGGCGACGAUCUGUAGCGGGUCUGAGAGGAUGAUCCGCCACCACUGGAACUGAGACACGGUCCAGACUCCUACGGGAGGCAGCAGUGGGGAAUUUUUGGGACAAUGGGGGCAACCCUGAUCCAGCCAGGCCGCGUGAGUGAAGAAGGCCUC
rnacentral:rRNA from 1 species